rnacentral:tRNA from 1 species
GGCCGUGGCGGCUCGGGUGACUGGCCCGGCUCCGGCUCGGGUGGUUCCGGUGGCUGGAACCCCGGUGGUUCGGACUCCGGUCGCGGCGGC